CGUCACCUGCGCAACUGGCGAUGGGGCGUCACGAACCGAGCGUUCGCGAGCCUGAGGUGGUGAACCACCGGGAAGCGCAGGCGGCAGGGGCAACAGCCCCCGUCGUUUCAGCCGUUCGCCUGGGCAGCCCUG
rnacentral:ncRNA from 2 species